rnacentral:tRNA from 1 species
GGGAAUGUAGCUUAGUGGUAGAGUGCUUGUCUAGCAUGCAUGAAGCCCUGGGUUCAAUUCCUCAGUACCA